AUUGAACGCUGGCGGCAGGCCUAACACAUGCAAGUCGAACGAGUGGCGGACGGGUGAGUAAUGUCUGGGAAACUGCCCGAUGGAGGGGGAUAACUACUGGAAACGGUAGCUAAUACCGCAUACCCUCGGAUCUGCCCAGAUGGGAUUCGCUAGUAGGUGGGGUAACGGCUCACCUUGGCGACGAUCCCUAGCUGGUCUGAGAGGAUGACCAGCCAAACUGGAACUGAGAAACGGUCAAGACGCCUACGGGAGGCAGCAGUGGGGAAUAUUGGACAAGGGGCGAAAGCCUGAUGCAGCCAGGCCGCGGGUAUGAAGAAGGCCUUCGGGUUGUAAAGUACUUGCAGCAAGGAGGCGUUACCUGCAGAAGAAGCACCGGCGAACUCCGUGCCAGCAGCCGCGGUAAUAC
rnacentral:rRNA from 1 species